rnacentral:lncRNA from 1 species
AGGGAGAGGUGAGGAUGAGAAGAGGAGCCAUGUCCUAUGGAUUCCCAGAUCCAGACUCCUCUUCCCUGGGAAAGCUGGAUUGGAGCUGGCCCCUCCUUCUGUGCCUUCAGGGGCUGUGGAGGAGGAGGCCCCUGCAGGGAGCUGCCUGGGGCGAGCGCUGGGGGCUUUUCCUGCAGUGCAUUAGCAGCAUGUCAUAAUGGAAAGUGGCUGGAUUUCUUUCCAGUUGUAAUCAAUGGUUAAGAUUUAACCUAGCAACAUUGUAGGGGUACACAGCCAAAUGAUUCAGGAAAAAAGAUGCAGGUUGAGUCUGGAGGAAUCCCUGUGCCAGCUUCCUCAUGCUCCCUCCCUCUCUCAGAAAUCACAUGGAACCCAUUCUCCCCUCAGCAGUGAAAAUGCAUUCAGCCUGUGUGCAGUGUUUCUGCCCAGGGAAGCCCAGUAGGGCCUCCAUGCCCGGGGUGUUUACUGGGAUCUGGUUAUGUAGACACCACCUGCCUAGCACGCACCAAAAUUCCAGACUUUCAGGAAAACAGGUGCCUGUGCCACAUUAUUUGCACGGAGAGACUGUGUCCAGUGAACGGUUCUGAUCAGUAAACUGUUGACUAGGAACAUCCCGAGAGCCAAGUUCCCAGAUGCCAGCCAAGGGCCAUCUGACCUGUUUUGAAUCUCAAUUUCCUGAUACAGAAAACAAAGGAUUGUCAGCUGACCUCUGUCCUGUGUGCCCAGUGGCCCCAGGUGACGUGUCUUCAAGAAGAGGCUGAGCUGCGGUGCUUGUAAGGGUCUCAUUCUGUCACCCAGGCUGGAGUGCAGUGGUGCAAUGAUGGCUCACUGCAGCCUCGACCUGGGCUCAAGUGAUCCUCCACCUCAGCUUCCUGAGUAGCUGGGACCACAGAGUCAUGUGCUGUUCCUGGGGCUUGGAUGAUGUAGGGGAAGCAAGGUGAAAGUGGUAUCCCGUGGUUCCACGUUCUGUCCUGCUGUGGGGCUGUCCCUCACAUGCUUUCAGUGGCUGUUGCAGAGGAAGAGCCUCCGGAAAUCUGCGUGGGUAAAGUCUCAGCCUUAGAUCCAAGGACAGUCCAAGGAAGUCCUAAGACCAUGGAGUUGGUGAUCUGGGAUCUGGGUUUGCUGAUAUUUCUCACCGUGAAUCUCUUGGUGGUGUUUGUGGGCACGAGAGGGGCAGAGAAUGGAGAGUGAGGCUACCACAUGAAGCGUCACCAGAGCUGCUCCCUGCUGCCUGCUCAGAGCACCCCGGAUCCACUGUUCAAUCUGCACAAGAUUCGGGGUCCAGACAUGGGAGACUUCAGCUGCCUCAGAGGACCGUGGACAGGGAAGGCCAGCCUCGCAUCCCUCUGUCCAUGCCUGGAAUGACUUUAAUAACCAAGAGUUUUAUUUUUGAAUUUGUAGCUGUCGUUCACUUUUUACCCACCCAUUCAAUAAACCUUACAGAAUU